ACAAACCAUUAUAGCUUGGCUCUAGCUAAAAAUUUAAUUAUAUUUUGGUUACCACAUGUAAGUCAAAAGCAAACCAGCAAACACUAUAAACCAAUAACAACCACAAAAACUGUUAUUAAACCAUAAAAAAGUCAAAACUUAAACAAACAAAAACUUGCGAACUUCAGUGUUUAACUUUAUACAAUCUAAGAAACUAGGAUAUAGCUAAAAAUAUAAAAGGCGGUAAAUAACGUGCCAGCAACCGCGGUUACACGUUAGCCUUAAAUUAAAUAACUCCGGUCCAUAGAAGAUUUACCCCUAAAUUUUAUAAAAAAAUUACUCAGCAGUAACAAGCUCAAACUAAACCUAAUAGAAAAUAAAAUUCUCCUAUAAAAGAAAAAAAAUAAACUGGGAUUAGAAACCCCACUAUACUCCCCCCAAACACCAAAGACCAGAGUAGUAUAAACCACAUCCAAUCGAAACUUAAAGAACUUGGCGGUUUUCUGAAACUUUUUGGAGGAGCUUGUCAUCCAAUUGAUAACCCACAAGCAACCUUACCAGUUUUUGAAAACAGCCUGUAUACCAUCGUCGCCAGCCUACCUUAAAGAACGUAAGCUAAAAGACAAACCCUGUCCAAACGUCAGAUCAAGGUGCAGCCAAUAAACUGGCGAUAGAUGAGCUACCCUACUUAACAACCGAGGACCUUUAUAUGAAAACUAAAAAGAAAAAGGAUUCAACAGUAAUUUCAUAAAGAAAUAUUAUAAUGAAACAAGCUCCAGAAUGCGCACACAUCGCCCGUCACUCUCAUCAAACGAAGAGAAAAGUCGUAACACAGUAGAUGUACCGGAAGGUGUAUCUAGAAA
rnacentral:ncRNA from 1 species